GACGAACGCUGGCGGCGUGCUUAACACAUGCAAGUCGAACGGAAAGGCCCUGCUUUUGUGGGGUGCUCGAGUGGCGAACGGGUGAGUAACACGUGAGUAACCUGCCCUUGACUUUGGGAUAACUUCAGGAAACUGGGGCUAAUACCGGAUAGGAGCUCCUGCUGCAUGGUGGGGGUUGGAAAGUUUCGGCGGUUGGGGAUGGACUCGCGGCUUAUCAGCUUGUUGGUGGGGUAGUGGCUUACCAAGGCUUUGACGGGUAGCCGGCCUGAGAGGGUGACCGGCCACAUUGGGACUGAGAUACGGCCCAGACUCCUAAGGGAGGCAGAAGUGGGGAAUAUUGAACAAUGGGCGGAAGCCUGAUGCAGCAACGCCGCGUGCGGGAUGACGGCCUUCGGGUUGUAAACCGCUUUCGCCUGUGACGAAGCGUGAGUGACGGUAAUGGGUAAAGAAGCACCGGCUAACUACGUG
rnacentral:rRNA from 1 species